AGGCGUGGCUUCCGGAGCUAACGCGUUAAGUCGACCGCCUGGGGAGUACGGCCGCAAGGUUAAAACUCAAAUGAAUUGACGGGGGCCCGCACAAGCGGUGGAGCAUGUGGUUUAAUUCGAUGCAACGCGAAGAACCUUACCUACUCUUGACAUCCAGAGAACUUUCCAGAGAUGGAUUGGUGCCUUCGGGAACUCUGAGACAGGUGCUGCAUGGCUGUCGUCAGCUCGUGUUGUGAAAUGUUGGGUUAAGUCCCGCAACGAGCGCAACCCUUAUCCUUUGUUGCCAGCGGUCCGGCCGGGAACUCAAAGGAGACUGCCAGUGAUAAACUGGAGGAAGGUGGGGAUGACGUCAAGUCAUCAUGGCCCUUACGAGUAGGGCUACACACGUGCUACAAUGGCGCAUACAAAGAGAAGCGACCUCGCGAGAGCAAGCGGACCUCAUAAAGUGCGUCGUAGUCCGGAUUGGAGUCUGCAACUCGACUCCAUGAAGUCGGAAUCGCUAGUAAUCGUAGAUCAGAAUGCUACGGUGAAUACGUUCCCGGGCCUUGUACACACCGCCCGUCACACCAUGGGAGUGGGUUGCAAAAGAAGUAGGUAGCUUAACCUUCGGGAGGGCGCUACC
rnacentral:rRNA from 1 species